UACAGGGGGGGGCAAGCGUUGUUCGGAAUUACUGGGCGUAAAGGGCUCGUAGGCGGCCAACUAAGUCACACGUGAAAUCCCCAGGCUUAACCUGGGGAACUGCGUGUGAUACUGGAUGGCUUGAAUCCGGGAGAGGGAUGCGGAAUUCCAGGUGUAGCGGUGAAAUGCGUAGAUAUCUGGAGGAACACCGGUGGCGAAGGCGGCGAU
rnacentral:rRNA from 1 species